GGGACUCGCAGCGCGCGUACGCGGUUGCUUCAAGAAGGGGCCUGGCGGGUGUAACGCGCCCCGGGGAGCGCGGGAAGGUGCAGGGUUGAGGAUCUACGCUCAGAGGCCUCAGCCGCGCGGGAGGGAUUCCUGUGUCUCCCACUUCUACCUGCGCGACCUUGGGCAGAGUAUUAGCGCUUCCCAGCCUUAGGCAUUCAUCUGUGAAAUGGGAAAAAUAAUCUGCUAGCAGCGGUGUGUUGGAAGAAACCAAUAAGAUCCUGGAUAGGUCCAGGCACUAAAGCAUCCUUCAGAGUUGAUGCUUCCUGGUGGCUGAGUUCCUAUUGGAACCCCGCUUUUUUGCUAGCAAAUAUUGCAGCUACGCAUACAUCCCUGGGAACUAACAUUUACUGAGUGCCUUCUACGUGACAAAGCCAGUUCUCCGCUAGAUCACUGUCCCCAAACCUGGACACUUCUCAGACCGAGCCAAAUUCUCAGCCCCGGAAAUUUUACAAAGAACCUACCGUAAGCUCUGGGAUGCACCUUAUCUUUCGAUCCUUGGCAGGGAGAAAGCAUUCGAUACAUUGUGAUUGCUUUUGAUAUACAAUAAUGUUUUAACCUGGACCUCCUAUGCCUUCUAGUUACUUUAGGUAGCCUAUUGAAUUUAAUCACCACCAGAGUCAUCUCAGGACCAUCUUUAAUCAAACUGAAUUAACUGGCCUGUGCAGACUGUCUUUAUCCUCUAAGAUUCAGGGAUACUGGCCUGUGAGUUUCAGCACCGACUUUCUGGAACUGUAAAG
rnacentral:lncRNA from 1 species